rnacentral:rRNA from 1 species
UACAGAGGUCCCGAGCGUUGUUCGGAUUCACUGGGCGUAAAGGGUGCGUAGGUGGUGAGGUAAGUCGGAUGUGAAAUCUCCGGGCUCAACCCGGAAAUGGCAUUGGAAACUACCUUGCUGGAGGAUUUGAGGGGGGAUUGGAAUACUUGGUGUAGCAGUGAAAUGCGUAGAUAUCAAGUGGAACACCAGUGGCGAAGGCGAGUCUCUGGACGACUCCUGACACUGAGGCACGAAAGCCAGGGGCAGCAAACAGGG